rnacentral:lncRNA from 1 species
UCCACAUAGGUGCUGUUCAAAUGCACAACGGUAGUCUCCAGCACCUUGUGUGGCUCGGUUUGCAGUGGAACUCUAGGCCAGUGUCACCCUCAACGCGGCAUCUGUUAAAACAACUUUUCCACUUGCCCUAAGAAACAUCAAGGCAUGAGACAGAUGCUCCUGAAUCCAUAUGCCUGUUAGAUCUUGAAGGCUCUAGCCUGGCUCACAUUUCUGUGACCAAAGGGAAUACAUGGGACAAAGUAUCUAUUACUGGAAGAAAAUUCUGAUUACUUUGGAAACCAUCAAAAAGAACAAAAGUAUUCCUGAACCAACUGAAUGUGCUGCAAGUUUCAAAGCCAGCAGUAAUACUGCACAAGAAAAAGUUAGAUUAGCCUUUGCUAAAAAGGAAGGCCAAUGGGACUGUAACAUCUGUUCAGUGAGAAACAAACCCACUGCCUCCUAACGUUUAGCCUGCCAGAAUCCAAGCAAAACUGAUACAAAAGCAUCUCUCCAACAAUUUUCCUUUAAAUCUGAACAAGUAGAUGCUCCAAAGAUCACUCAAAAUUACUUGAGAACUGCUUUUCCUACAGCUGUUCUAUCUGCCUAAUCCAAAACAAAGCAAGUGAUGAAAACUGUUGUUCCUAUAAGAAUCGAAACUCGCGAAGUCAACCUAAUGUGCUAGUAUCCAUUGUUCAGG